rnacentral:rRNA from 1 species
UACAGAGGGUGCGAGCGUUAAUCGGAAUUACUGGGCGUAAAGCGUGCGUAGACGGUUAUUUAAGUCGGGUGUGAAAGCCCCGGGCUCAACCUGGGAAUUGUAUUCGAGACUGAAUAGCUAGGGUACGGUAGAGGGAAGCGGAAUUUCCGGUGUAGCGGUGAAAUGCGUAGAUAUCGGAAGGAACAUCAGUGGCGAAAGCGGCUUCCUGGACCAGUACCGACGUUCAGGCACGAAAGCGUGGGGAGCAAACAGG